CAAUUGUCAGUGUUUCUGAUGAUUCUGAAACUACUUCAGGAGGUGGUACUCUACAGAUAUGGCGAAUGAUCGAUUUGAUUUACAGGCCGGAAGAGGAGGUCCUCGCAGAACUGGAUAAGUUCAAAUCUGACAUCCUCACUUGAUAAAGGCUAGAACUAAGUAGUUUUCCUUAAAACUGAAAGGCUGAACAGUGAGGAGCAAAUGAGUGUGUGUUAGCAUCGUCCUUUCUUUAGGCAAUUUUAGAUGCUCAGAAUCUACUUGAGUUGCAUGUUAACUUUUUAAGGUUGCCGAUUAUUGAUAACCUUGAACUUCAUCUUUUUUCUUGCAUAUUCACCCCUUCCCGGAGUUUAUUUUAGGCAAGUUGGCUGUUCUACACUCACAACACCAACAUCUACAAUGAGUAGAACUCGAAUUCUUAACUUUUGUUGUAGGUAACUGAACCAACUUGUUUUUGGCUUAUAUGAAAGCAUAAUCCUGAUUCUGAAUGAUUUAUAGAACCCAG
rnacentral:misc_RNA from 1 species